UGCAUGAUGUCCUCGCUUUGUCAGCUGAUGAUGACCUGUAACUGUUACUUUGAUCUUUCUUUUUCUUUGUUUUGGUUUUCGUUUUGAUUGGCGAUCCUCUUCUUGAUUUAAUUCUUUUGUUAAUAUGUCUUAGCCUUUUGCAUACACUGUUUAAUUAAGGAAGGAACAUAAGAUAAUCACUGCUUCCUAAUUUUGUAAUCGAUGAGUGGAUGAAUCAGGUUCAUUUUAACAGCCAUCCAUAAGUAAAGUCCCAUUGUGUUAUAUGCCUGCAGGCUCGAGGGUGCUGACAGAACUCUUCCGAUGGGACAUCUAUCUCCAUUUGUUGAAGCUGACUUUUGAAGAUGGAGUCCAGAGCGAAGAAUCUUAUAGCAGGAGUGGACAAUUAUGUUCACUGUUUGUGUCUACCCCUGGCGGACACCUCGUACUUUAUGCUGGCCGACCAGCCGACCGCCCACCACCUGACUGUUGGAGCCAGCAGCCAAGCAGCAAAGAUCGAUCACCCACAGGGCCAUGCAUCUGGAUGCUAGCGCCCUCUGCGAGAAGUAAACAUGUGAGGAGAAGUCAUCGGACUCUCCUAAAUGGCGCUGACUUCACCUCUCCAAACGACCAUUCUAUGUUAUGGAGUCUCAGGUUCAAGUUCACUGCAUUAAAACAGAAAAAACAAGUGUCCGGCGCUUUCUAACGAGUGUGGGGCUCUGUAAAGGAUGACGACCGCUAAGCGUCCCACGCAGCAGUGGCGGACUUAAUUUCCACCUCACUUGUGCGUGCCCCUGGCCGCGCGCCCAAUCCAAUUUCGUUGUCCGGAGAGCUCCACAGACAAACCACACGACAUCCAUAUUCAUGACUGCUUUCUCCCCUCCUCUGCUGCCUUCCCUUUUCGAGGAUUUAUAGCCUCCACACACUUCAGUACGACAAGUUCAAGUCGCCAUCUACAGCCAGACCUCAUGUUACAAUGGUUUUCUUCAUUAAAAAACAACUUACAUACUACAGCGGAACCGGAGCUUGGAUGAGGGGAAACAACUCCCAUGCAACUAUGGCGAAGCAGACGUGAAUGUAGCUGUUCUGAGCUGCGCUCAACCUCUAGGAAACUAGGACCGACAGUAGACCCCUCUGUGGUUAAAUCAGAACUGUUAAUGGCCAUAAUCACAAAAAUGGCUGGCGAUGUGUGCCCGACUGGCGAAGCAGGUGAAGUGUGAAGUCUAUCACAACACAUGCAGAUAACAGGCUCUUUAAAAUUUACACAUCCAGCCCUCUGUUUUAUAAGGCAGAGGUGAGGAGAAGGAUUUCAAUUACGACAAAAAGGAAAUUAUAUUAUGUGAAGAGACCAUCAAGGUGAAAGAAAUGGAUCCAUAACGAUUUCGGCUAUAUGGUCUCUGUUGCAUGCCGGGCUGAAUGU